CUGAACAAAACCAUUGGUGGUAUAUCAGUCAUUGAGCAGAGAAGCAGCGAAGUGAUGUGGAGUAAGGGGCUUAUUAUAGGGAUUUAGCGUGAUGCACUCAUGAGAGCUGGAAUAAACUAUAAUCUCCUUUACUAAGCAGUUUUGCUGUAGUAAAUGCACAGAAAUCCAGCUCUUCAGAAUAUCACCCGUGGUCCUCUGUGAUCCAGAAGCAAACGAUUCUCCCCUGACAUAUGGUCAGAAGGUCUGUAGUAGCUUAAAACGAUGUUACAGUGUCUGCGUCAUGCACCACACUUCAUCUCAUCAGGUGGAACCUGUCCUCCAGAGACAUCCUGAGAAAGAUGGAUGAUGAAAAUGUCCUUACUCUCCAUUUAUGUUGGAUUGAUGUUUGGAUUGGACAUACAUUUCUGCAUGGGAAACUAUUAUCUGUCAUGAUGUUGAAGGCAUUGGUCCCUUGUUUCUAGCUUUUGUACUACAUUUGAGAAAUAAUGAUGUAUUUUGACGCCU